UUGAAUUCUUAUGGAAACACUUUUACUCUUCAUAAUAAGCUGAUUAAGAUUACAAUGCCGCGACGUAGAAGACCUGAGGAAAAUAUUAGUAAAUCUGAGUUAUUUCGUUGCGCAAAAAAACAAACGAUUCGAGAACUAGAAGAAAUAUCUUCUAUUGUGUUUCAAUCACACGAAAGCUCGGCUAUAAUUAGACCCAAAGAGGAAAUCUAUACAGAAACAGUAAAUAAUGUUCUUUUAACAAAAGACAAUGACAGUCAAACAGAACUCUCAAAUGCCCAGGAAGUACACAACGAACAUUUUAAUGAACAUAUUGCAAUGGAUUUCGAUACAGAGUAUCAAUACAGCGAUAGCGAAUUAAAUUCUGAAAUAGAUGCAUACAGCAGCUGUGAUGUUAAUACCUAUAUAUGACGAGGAUAUGGAAAAUCCAGAAAAAUUGCUUGGCAAACAAUUUAAAUUAAAAAUAAAAAACUGGGCUAAGGAAUUUAAAGUACCUCACAACAGCUUAAAAUCAUUGUUAGCUAUUUUAAAUGAACAUGUAAAAAUAGAUUUUCCUAAAGAUCCUCGCACACUUUUGGGAACACCAAAAACCACGCGCAUAGAAAAUAUGGGACAUGGGCAAUACUGUCACUUUGGAUUGUGGUGCUAAAAUACGGAUAAUGGUGCUAAAAAUAGGAACGACAAUUCACAAACUGAUACUUAACAAGAAGGAUCGUUUAGUGCAGAUAACUUGUCAACUGUAUUGAGGCUUAUUCUGACAAAGCAAAAUAAAAUCGUAAAACAGAACGAAAUUAUAAUGACUAAAAUUACGAAUCUCGAGAAAAAAGUUUCUCUUACAGAAACAAGUCAUUGCCAGUUGAGUAACCGAACAAAAGAUAAAUUAUAUGAAACGUUCAUUAUAAAAACUACGAACGAUCUAGAGCAGUUUGACGCUUGUUUAAAAAAAAAGAAGUUUUUUGAUGAAGUUGUUGAAUUUUUAAAGCAAAAAGGAGGUCCUGAUGUGCGGUCUCAUGUGUUUAAUAUUUUAAACACUACAAUAAGUAAUUCUGUUGCAACACAAUAUAGUUAUAAGGGUCAAAAGAAAAAAAAGAUUU